ACUGCAAAGCUCUUGUACAACUAAGGCUGUACAUGCUGUAUGAAGGCUAUGACUGCUGAAAUGAGAGGUUGUCUGUGCUGAGGCUACGGGGGAAGUGGAAGCAAAGCCAACAGACUGAGGACAUGCGAGUGCUGUGCCGCCUUUCUGUAUCGCUUUCUUGGAUGAACCAAAGGCUUGGCAAAGCAAGAGACAUUAGGUAAGCAGCUGAUGGGUUUAGGCUGUCAUGCAUCUGUGACUUCAGCUUCCUGAACAAUCAUCCACGAGAAAUUUGAAUCACAAGACUGGAGAUCUCACAGAUGUUAAUAAGCCCAACUGUGCUGCAGGAGCACCUAUGGAACAAGCUAUGUAACAUGCCUGCUCUUUCUAGAGAAAAUACAACUUCAUCCUGACCAAGCUGAUUUAGCUGUAUACUCAGCUAAAUUAGUGAAUCUGAAAUGGACCCUUGACUCCUAACUUUAUGUCGCACAUAUGGUAAUGCACACUGCUUUUUUUUUAAUUGUAGAAAACUGCAUCCUUUUGCUUGCAUCCACCCAUUUGAGUCACAUUAAAAAAAUGUGAAAUAACUCCCUGAGUCCACAGCAAAUA